CGAAGGGGACUAGCGUUGUUCGGAAUCACUGGGCGUAAAGCGCACGUAGGCGGAUUUGUUAGUCAGGGGUGAAAUCCCGGGGCUCAACCUCGGAACUGCCUUUGAUACUGCAAGUCUCGAGUCCGAUAGAGGUGGGUGGAAUUCCUAGUGUAGAGGUGAAAUUCGUAGAUAUUAGGAAGAACACCGGUGGCGAAGGCGGCCCACUGGAUCGGUACUGACGCUGAGGUGCGAAAGCGUGGGGAGCAAACAGGA
rnacentral:rRNA from 1 species